rnacentral:piRNA from 1 species
UUNUUGUUGCCUGAGCAUCAGGUAUGUUGCC